rnacentral:rRNA from 1 species
GGCGGCAGGCUUAACACAUGCAAGUCGAGCGCUCGUAGCAAUACGAGAGCGGCAGACGGGAGAGUAACACGUGGGAACGUACCCUUCGGUUCGGAAUAACCCAGGGAAACUUGGGCUAAUACCGGAUACGUCCGUAAGGAGAAAGAUUUAUCGCCGAGGGAUCGGCCCGCGUCCGAUUAGCUAGUUGGUGGGGUAAUGGCCCACCAAGGCGACGAUCGGUAGCUGGUCUGAGAGGAUGAUCAGCCUCACUGGGACUGAGACACGGCCCAGACUCCUACGGGAGGCAGCAGUGGGGAAUAUUGGACAAUGGGCGCAAGCCUGAUCCAGCCAUGCCGCGUGGGUGAUGAAGGCCUUAGGGUUGUAAAGCCCUUUCGGCGGGGAAGAUAAUGACGGUACCCGCAGAAGAAGCCCCGGCUAACUUCGUGCCAGCAGCCGCGGUAAUACGAAGGGGGCUAGCGUUGCUCGGAAUCACUGGGCGUAAAGCGCACGUA